CAGAGCUGAUGACCAAAGAGGGGGGAAGUCUAAGGAUCGAGCUGAUAUUAUUACUGACAUCCUAACUGUAUUUUUUUUAAUUGGGUUUAGAUCUAACAUCACAUUUUGCUUGGUUCCGGGACACGCUGGGAUUGGGGGGAAUGAGCGGGUACCAGAUUGAAAAACAGAGUUUGACUAGAGAGGUAGAUGUUCAUAUAUCCUGGGGGAGAGGAGCUGAGAGAAAUAAUUAAAUAAGGCUUAAUGAUGGAAUGGCAGAGAGGGUGGCAAAAGAAAGAAGGUGUAGACACUAUUUCUCUUAACAAUCUCAAGUUAAAAAAGAUGUGCCUGCACUUUUCAGUCCUGUAGGGAUUCAGUUAAACUGUAGAUUAAGGCUGGGUCACUGUGGGCCAAAUCACUUUUUAUUCAUUGUAGGAAAAUAUGUGUCUGGUUUAUGUGAAUGUGGGAGUUCUGAGACAGUAAAACAUGUUUUUCUGGAGUGUAGAAAAUACAGGACAGAAAGACAUGCAUUCUUCGGUAGACUGUUGGGACUUGGAGUUCUCACAGUGUCCCGUUUGGACACUGUGAGAACCAUAAACUAAUCUCCAGGGCAGUUUUGCAGUUCCUGCACAGUACAGGACUGUUUGUAGAAAUCUAGUUCAUCAUCGGACCUGUGGAGGGCAGUAGUACGCUAGACAGCGUCCAAACUGCCGGAAUCUGACAACUAGAAGAAGAGCGGACGACCCUCCAGCUGCGUACACACGUGGUUAAAACAAGCAUACAAGUCCUACAAAAAGUAACCAGCUCCGAUAUGCUCACCCACUUUACGGGUCCUGGGGCCCUCCAGAAGCUGAAGCAGCCCCAGACGGCGAUAGGUGGGCAUCUUGGAAAAACGCAUGUCUCUCUACAAAGAUCGGCAGAAAGUGCCGUGAUGGUGGCUCUGGACGGGUCGAAAUGAGUGGAUGAAGCUUCAACUUCAGAACCAGGCAGAAACCCCAACUUGUCAAUGGUAUAACUCAGAAUUGAGCACGACCAUUUGGAGUGGAAAUGAGUGGUUCAAGUUAAGGCCCAGGCAGAAACGCCAAAUGGUCAAUGGUACAUCGCCGAAUUGAGCACUAUCCAAGGAACCAUUUGGAGUGGACGUCGGAGGUUUAGGUUCAGAAACGGACAGGAACCCCAACUUGUCAAUGGCACAACUCCGAAUUGAACACUAUUCAAGGAACCAUUUGUAGUGGACUUCAGUGCAAGAAAAGUCCAGUGCCGUGAAGCGGGAUGGUGUCUCGUGAGUUGCCAAAUGAGUGGCGGAUAAAGACCCUUAGAAACCAUCCAGCUUGGAGAUUACAUUUAAGCAUGCCGAUGUGUAACUCACCACUGAAGUCAGCAGUGAGUGACUAGAGCUCUGAGUACUGGAGAAUCCACAUGGGUUAUGGCUCGAGGAAACCCAUGGCUUUGAAUGUCGUUGGCUAAGCCUUUCCUUGUUUUGAUCUUGUCCAGCAAAGUUCGACUUAUUGGAUUAAAUGCAUUUCUAAAGACCA